AGAGUUUGAUCAUGGCUCAGGACUAACGCUGACGGCGUGCCUAAUCUAUGCAAGUCUAGGGUACUUGUACCCUGGCAGACGAGUGAGUAACACGUAGGAACCAACCCCUUACUUGACCAUAACCUGGGGAAACCCGGACUAAUAGUCAAUAGUCUUUCUGGAUAGUACCAGAAAAGUAAAGCUUCGGCGGUGAGGGACGGGCCUGCAUCCUAUCAGCUAGUUGGUAAGGUAAAAGCUUACCAAGGCGAUGACGGGUAGGGGGCGUGAGAGCGUGGCCCCCCACGAUGGCACUGAGAUACGGGCCAUACAUCUACGGAUGGCAGCAAGUAGGAAUAUUGCGCAAUGGACGAAAGUCUGACGCAGCGACGCCGUGUGUGGGAUGAAUGCCUUCGGGUUGUAAACCAACAUUGAAAAGGGGCGGCUAACUUCGUGCCAGCAGCAGCGGUAAUACGGAGGCCCCAAGCGUUGUCCGGUUUUAUUGGGCGUAAA
rnacentral:rRNA from 1 species